AAGAUUUUAAGUUAAAAAAACUAUUAAUUUUCAAAAUUAAUUUUAAAGACCCUUAUCUUUAAAUCUUA
rnacentral:tRNA from 1 species